CUGCACGUUCUGCAUUGCGUGGUUUUCGUGCGGUGGGUCAGCAUAAACCUGUCCUUGCUCUCUCACAUCUCUAAACAUGGAAAGAAACGAACUAAGACCUUCAGACGAAGCACCUCCCAAGAUCCAUAAUAAUAAUGAACUGAAUGAACUCAUAGUUCUGGGAUUAGGUCCAGCUUCAGCUUGCUGUAGAUCGGGUUGUGCUGGAAUCUGCAUAUCGGGUUUCCGUUCUGGCUUAUGUUUUCAUUUUCCGACUGUCUUCGAGGCCCAGCAGCUUCUCCAGCUCCAUUGCUGGUACUUCUUGGUCAGAUCCAGGUCUCAACCUGGCAUAGAGGUCGGAUCGGGUCGAACUGGGCCAGGAUUCCUGGUGUUUAGUCUUGUAAUGGUGUAAAGUAGAUGCAAGUAUAGUUGAAGAUGUGAUAUGGAAAUCCGGAUGUUGCUGAAGCUGAGACCGCCGGUUUUGCAUAAACCUUUGAAGGGUGGGUACCUAGAAGCAUCGUAUAGUGCAACAAAUGUAACAUUUUAGAAUUGUGUAACAUUAUCAUACUUAUAUCGAACAUGAUCUUAGAUAGUAAUAACAGUGUUAUAACCUACACAUUAUGGACAGCAUUUUAUGUAAUGUCAUCAUCAAUUUUGAACUUAAAAUUGUAAAACUAAAUUAAUUACAAACAUAUUUUCCCCAUAUUUCAAACUCAUUAAACUCCAAAACAAAAGGAAAAAGAACUCUAUUCAGAAAACCAAAACAUGAAUUUUCCGAAAAAUAAAUGCAUGUUGUGGUCUGCAAAUGCAAAAGAUACAUUGUUUAUUUCUGAGCUCUUCCUCUCCUCUUUAGUCUUUNNNNNNNNNNNNNNNNNNNNNNNNNNNNNNNNNNNNNNNNNNNNNNNNNNNNNNNNNNNNNNNNNNNNNNNNNNNNNNNNNNNNNNNNNNNNNNNNNNNNNNNNNNNNNNNNNNNNNNNNNNNNNNNNNNNNNNNNNNNNNNNNNNNNNNNNNNNNNNNNNNNNNNNNNNNNNNNNNNNNNNNNNNNNNNNNNNNNNNNNNNNNNNNNNNNNNNNNNNNNNNNNNNNNNNNNNNNNNNNNNNNNNNNNNNNNNNNNNNNNNNNNNNNNNNNNNNNNNNNNNNNNNNNNNNNNNNNNNNNNNNNNNNNNNNNNNNNNNNNNNNNNNNNNNNNNNNNNNNNNNNNNNNNNNNNNNNNNNNNNNNNNNNNNNNNNNNNNNNNNNNNNNNNNNNNNNNNNNNNNNNNNNNNNNNNNNNNNNNNNNNNNNNNNNNNNNNNNNNNNNNNNNNNNNNNNNNNNNNNNNNNNNNNNNNNNNNNNNNNNNNNNNNNNNNNNNNNNNNNNAAAAUCAAUAUUACCUUAUUCAUCGAUCAACUUCAGAUUGUAAGCUUCAGAUAGAGAGGAUUUAUAAGUCUUAGAUGGCAGUUCAUUUGCCUCAGCAAGUUCAUAGACCUUAUUAAUAAAUGCUUGAGUGCUUUCAGCUGCUGCAGGAGAUCUAAGAAUGUAAUUAUGCUCAUAAAAUGAGCAUACUUGAUCUAAAAACUCCAAUACUUUCUUCUUAUGACUGCAAAAGCAUCAAUAAUGCAAGUAAUAUCAGAUCAGAGUUAAGUGUAAAGCAUAUUACAAGAUUCAAUUUCAUGAAAUAAAAGCAUAUAAAAACACUAAGACUUAUUGAGACCUAUAUGAAGCCGCAGUAAUCUCAAAGGUCUUCACAAGUAGAAUAGUUGGACAAUUAGCAUCCUGACCAGCAGUAAUAGCACACCGACACGAGCAUUUUUGGACCCUUGAAUCUGGUAAUAGUACAGGAUUGCUAGACCAUUAAUAAUGAUAGUGAUGACACGAAUAAUACCAUUAGAAGUUACAAUCAACAAGAACGAAAGCAAAGUCAUGGCAUAAUGAUACCAGAUAGCGAAUUGCUUCACGAAGUAACUUUAUUCCUUUUUCUAGAUUGACAUCAACAGCAAGAAGAUGAGUUACAGGCUUCACAUCAUCUACAGCGGGAGUUGAUCAAGUCAUUAAACAUCUUAGAAUUCAAAUAACGUGAGGAAACAAUAAAGUGAAAUUAAUAACUAACAUAACGUCUGCUUACGUUCCUGGAGAAUGUAAGUAAUUAAUUUCAUUCAGACAGAUUCCCCUCCAAGGACUGGUGAAGCUAGAGAUACAAACCUUGCUUGACUUUGCCACCAGCAAUAAAUCUACAUCCAAGCAAUAUCAUAUUAGUACAAACAUAUCAUAGUAACAAGAUCUAAAUUUAGAUGGCAGUGUUACAUAAACCUAAUGACAAUUUACCUGGGGGUUAUAGCGACUGACCACCAUUUUCAGAUAGGAAUUUGUCCAGUACAUUAGUGUGAGAAUUUAUUUUCCCAUAGUAACUUGUUCUUGUAUCCUGGGAAGCUCAUCAUUCAUGGCAUUUAUAAGAGCAUCCUCCAAAAUAAACACAAAAAGGCUAUUUAUUUGAACUGAAAUUUUAAAAAACUUUAUGAUGAAUGCUAUAAAAUCAUCAUGAUAGAAGUCAAUAAUAGAAAAAAAAAAAAAGGAAGAAGAAAGAUACAUAUAAAUAAUUAAGUACUAGAUAUGGUAAAUCAUCAAAGGAACUAAGACAUAGAAGUAAUCUGCAAAAUCUAAACGUAAAAGAAACUAGCAUACCAUUAUAAUUUUCUAUAAGGGAAACCACAUUUAAAAGAAAUAAAAUACAGGCUGGUAAAACGGACUCAUCAAAUAUAGGUGCCAAUUAAGAACUUUCCCAAAAAGUUAAUAAGCCCAAACACAUAAAGGGACACCAAAUAAUAAAAAAGCUACAAGUUAGGAAAGUAUGGCACAAUUGGAUAUAUGAGUGUUAUAGGUACCUCACUAGAAUCAAAGACAAGACCAUUCAUCAAGAGGCAACACUGCAACUUGCUGACACCCAGCUUAAAAACAAACAAUGAGCUCUCUUGAGACAAUUCCUUAAAACUCUGUUCCUUUUCCAGCUUUAACAGUAUUUCUUGUGGUGGAGAUUUAGCUUUCGGUCUACAGAAACAACACAUAUUGAUUAACCAAGCAAAUAUAAAUCUCCCAAAAUUAGAGGAGCAUCAAAGGAGAAAAUAUGACCAGCAUGUAUAAGCAGUAUAAGUCAACAAAUAUUUUCAAAACUUACAAUAAUGUUUCCACAAAUGCCCCUUCAAUAUGGUGCAUUUCAAGAGCCUCAUCUGUAGAGUCAGCAGAUUCUGUUCGUAAUCGAUUUAUCUAUCACAAAGUACGUCAAAGUUUUAGUUAACACUGUCAAAUGCAUCAUGUUAGUAAAUUGUGAUACAGCAGAUUCAGCCAAGGGAAUAAAGGAAUCAUGCAAGGUGUGUCAUACAUCCAUUAUAGUUCUUAAAAUCAUCCAUAGUUUUGCAAUCCUCCUUCCUAGUAGAAAAGAUAGUAAUCUCAGCCUAAUAUAGAGAAGGUUUCAGAUUUCCCCUCACUCUCCCUCCCCCACUUAAAGGAUCCAUUUAUGCCUACAAAGUAUAGAAACAAGUUAUUUCCUAUUCUAGGGCAUAACAUGGCAUUUUUAGAGAUAAUAAAAAUAACAAUAAGAGCAGCAGCAGCAGGAACAAAAAACAAAAAAGUAUUAUGUUGAGUACAUGUCAUUAGCAAAAUAAAUAAAUAAACAAAAAUUUGUGGAUAGACUCGUCACAUUAAAAUUUCAAGUACAAAGUCUACUUGUUUAAAUCCUAUUAUGAUUUGCAAAAUACAUGCCAAAAGCUUAUACAUGCGAUGGGUAUAUCAAUAGCUGAAAGAGAAAGAUGAUUUUGUAGGAUGAAAAUAAGUACCAUAACAAGUUUUAAGUUAGUCAAGGCUAACCUCAAACAUCUUUUUCUCCCAAGCAUAUAAAUUUCAGAAAGUAUUGCAGAUAAACAACACAGAAACACUGGAAUACAAUAUAGCAAAAACUAAAGAGAAAUAAAAUUUACAUCCAAUCAACAAUAGAAGCUACAAGCAUAAAAAGUGGCUAAUCAAACCCAUACAUUGCUCAAAAAUUGGAAAGCUGAUUGAAUCCCGUGGUUUUCCUUAAUAUAGAUGAAAAGUCGUAUAAUCUGCAAAGAAAUUGCAAUAAACAAUGUGCAUAAGCACCAUAAGUUGCAAACCAGAAACCUCAAUGAUACUUGACAGCAGAAUGAAGUAUUGAAAUAACUAAGGAGAAACCAUGGUUCAGCAUAACAAUAUCAAAUUGCACAGAAGUUGAAACAGAGAACAUUAGACUAAGUUAAGCAACUACCAAACUGGAUUUAUCAUCCUCAAGUUCACCAUCAUGCUCAGAUGAAUGAAGUUCGCCACCACUCUGUUCAAUCUUUUUGAUGAAUUGUGUAGAAUACAGUAUCACCCCAAAUCUCAUUGGGAAACUAUUCUCAUAGAAAGAUGUAAUCAUAUCGAUAGACUGCAAGGUUCCAGUUGGAAAUUAUGAUAAGAAAACUUAUCUGAGAAAGAGAAUGAAAUGAGAGAGGGAGGGAGGGAGAUGGAAUCAUCCAGAAGAUGGAAGAAAACAUGCCUGAAGACCAGAAACUGUUGAUGGAUCAAGAACAUAAACUGCAUGGAACAGAUUCUUACGAAUAUAACGUAGCUGGCCGGGAAAGACUGGCAUUAAGAUCUGCACAAAAUGUUAUCAGAAGACAUGCUUUCCAGCAACCAUUAACAGAAGCUCAAACAAGCAGAACCUUCAUAUUCUUUAGAGAGAUUCUAGGAUAAGUUAACAUACAUCAUUUAUAUUACUCCUCCAACGCCUAUACAUAGCAUCCUCCUCCAAGUUAUUGAGAUAAUGAACAUGGUCAGAACGAAAAUCAACUCGGAAUGCAUCAGACUCAGGAGGAGUCAUAGUUGAUAGAAGUUUCCUUAUAGUGCUACGGGGGAGCUGAAAAUAAUAGAAUCAACAGGUUAAUAUAGAGGAUGAUGCGUGAGAUAUAUCCCAAAAUUACCCAAUAAGAAGCUCAUGUAUAAUAGAAGGUCUUCUAAAAACUAGAAAGAAAGAGAUUCAUCAAAUACAUAUGAUCAUUAAGCAUGUUAAUUGGUCAGAAAUAGCAGAACAGGGUAAGCAAUAGCAGAAUCAAUUUGAUUUUAACUGUUAACAAUAAAUUAAACACGCAAUGUAGAACAGAUUCAUAAUAGGUUAAUUACCACAACAAAUGGCUCUUAUAUAUUACAUUCUUGCAUUCUUCACAUGAAAUUAAUUAUCCAAAUCCUGAUUGAAAGAAACAUUAGAUAUAUUUUCCAGGGAGCUAUAAAACAAACAUCUAGGCAUUCUGCUUCAAUAUUUACACUACUAUCCCCUGUUCUCAAAUACUGCAUUUUCAAACUUAUUUGAACAAGUUAGGAAACGUGUAUCUUUGUUCAACUAAAGGCAGAAGGGGAAUGAAAGGAAAAAAAAGUUACUAAUUUAGAUAUUUCAUUAAUAAAGUCAUAUAUUUCGAGUAAAGUGGAUAUGAUAUAAAGGAACACUUUUUAGCAGCUUUAACUAAUCAAUCAAACAAAAUGAAACUUAGAAUUACUAACCUUCAACUUUGAAAACUGAUCAGCCAAGGAUAGCUCCUGAUGGACCAGGUCAAUCAAUCUAAGAAAAAAUUGAUUGCAAGAAAUAUAAUAUCAGAGAUUCAGAAGUAAUACUAUAUCGAUCAAGUUGCAUAAAGGAAUUCAAGUAAAGCAUAAAAACCCUUGAAAGGGUGAAAAGCAUUAAUAUAGAAAUAAGAAAUUCCACAGUGAUAAUAUCCCUUGAUUACAUUAAAAAAUUCAACAGUAUAAUGCUUGCAAAGAAUACAUCACAAUAUCAAACAUCAGGUUUUAAUCAGGAAAAUCCUAAUGCAGCUGCAUACAUUGUUUUUACUUCUAAGAAAGUCUUCUUUAAAUUAAUUCCAAAUUUCAUGAUAGGGUUUGUGAUAGAAUUCAAAAUUUAAGGACUGAAAAUCACAGCAGAUGAUAAUUGACUUUAAUCCAGAAAGUACUAAAUUUACAUGAUAAAAGCUAUUCUGUUUUAUUUUAAAUUUUAACAAAUAAAUUUGGUUAAAAGUUUUUUGGCAACAAUUGCCAAAAUCUUCAGGUAUAGAGGGGCCAAAGAUAAAUAUUUAAAAAUGUCAUGAAUUCUAAACAGAAAAUCUUCAGUGAGAAGCAAAAGAAAGAAGGGAGAAAAAGCAUUACAGAUAAAGGUCAAUAUCUUCGAUAUUGAUUAAAGCACCAUUCAGAGCCAUUAAGGACUUGCCAGGAGGGAUCAUUCUCUGGUUUGCAAUUAUCUCAUCUUUAACUGAAUCAUUGAGCUGAAAAAUGCAUAAAUUUGUAUAAAUUGAUUAGAAAAACAAAUUUGGGCACUUUAUUGUUGGAGUCUAUAUUAAAAAACAUUACAGCUGCUAAAACAUUGAGAGAGUCACCAAGAAGUUACCUUCAUCCGAGAUAAGGAAGACACUACACUAGGAAAAUUUUGGUUGAUUUCUUGCAUUGACUGCAAAGGAUCAGAGGCUUGUACUAUUCUCUGUGCAGUUUGAUGUCCUAAAUCUGUUUUAAGGGAAAUUUUGCAUUUUCAAGAUUAGACAUGCAUAACUAGAAAGAAAAAGAAAACCUUAAGUAAAAAGUACCUUUCAGCUCCCAAACAUCAAGUGUGUCCGAUAUUGUUGAUGACAAUAGAUAAUCCCUGAAUGCCAUUAUCUCUGAGGUAAGGUCAGGUUUGCGCUCCUGCAAAAGGAAAUAGAAGAAAAUGUUAACUUCAGGACAACAUAGGUGCAAGUUUUAUGUUAGAAAUCAUUAUGACCAGAGUUGACUCUUAUCCAAGGAGAAAGGUCCACUCCUUUAAGUUAAUAUUUGAGAAACUAAUGUUCCCUGAAACAGUUGCAACUUGUAUUGGAAAAAAAUAAGAGGAAAAAAAGAGGGAAGGUUGAUUAUGGCCAACCAGAAUUUUUGAAAAUAUAAACCCUCUGACUUCUUGACUAAGAUCUUCAGUCCGAGGAUCUUCUAGUGUUACACCUGCAAUUCAAACCUCAAGUCCUUAGAUACCUCAAUCAACGCAAUAAAGCAAGCAAUUAUGAAGCAAACAAGCAUGCAAGCUAACCAAAAAAAAAAUCCAUGAACGUAGAGCAUCUAUUUGAGAUACUCACAUUUAUGAUAAAACACCAAUAGGCAUUCCCAACAAGUUAUUGUAUUACAAUUGAGAACCAUAAAGAAGAUAAGGUGUAUUCAUAUAGAACAAAUCCUUUAAAAGAAAGGACUAAUCAAGGUUGAAAGUUUCUGAAAGCCAUAGAGCAAACAACUUAGAACAGUUCCAAGACAGGAGUGUUUGUAUUAGAGAGCACAAUAGAAGCAAAGAAGAGCUAUAAAUAAACCAAAACAUCAACCACAAAAAUCCUGCUACAUCUACCGAGGGAAUAUCACAGUAGAAUCCAAGUGCAAAGAUCAAUAGUGGCAAUUGACAAAAGGAAAUAUACAAUAACCACGUAAUACAUAGAAGCACUGGAAAAAUAAUAAUACAUGGAAAAAAAACCUAUUGACUAAAUUAAUAAUACAGAGGUCAUGCAGAAGUGCUGGCUUUUAAAUUUGCAAUUGCUCCACCAAGAGUGCUAACCUUUCUUUACGGUGCUGUCAUCCAUGGCCUUAUACUCCAUAUUCUUCAAUGCAAGCUCUACACCAUAGCCACCCAAGUUUAAGGAAUCUCUUGCACCAACAGCCCCACAUUGGCCAACUUCUCCUUCACAACCAGAAGGUAAUACUGGUCUGACAACAUACUUAACUUUUCCCUGGACAUAAAAUGAGGUAAAUCAGAGAAUUUAUAACAGCCAUUGCACCAAAAAGUGUGAUAUCAUAAUCCUUAUAAAAGAGAUGAAGGGAAGCCUAGUAAGGGGAAAAAACUGUAUGCAAAUAGUAUUCUGUCAGAUCAGUAGCAUGCAGUAAUUCAAACAAAGCAUAUAAAUGAAUCAAUUAGAUCACGCUGAGUCAGCUUAAAACAAAUGAUGAAGGUUGCCACUAAGCACCAGAUGAAUCUCAAAUAAGUUAUUAAUUCAAACAACAGGUCUAGAAUAUUUUGAUUGCAAUAGGUAGUUUUAUUUCAGAUUAUGCUUAUCAGUUAAUAUGUGAAUAAAUAUUGUUCAUAAAACAAUAAAACUAACAGGAACUAUCAAUAUAGCAAAAAUCAAAUGUGUCAUCUGGCUUAUGAGUAAAAGAAAAUCUAAAUCAAAGAAUGAGAAGGCAACCUCUUUGGCAGCUUGAACUAGGGUAACAUGGAACUCCCUAAAACAUUCUGUUCCAAGAGCACCAUACAGAAUAGCAACAGGGCUCGCAAUAUUCGAAUCAAAAUGAAUGUGAUCAAAUUCAUAUAAUUCAGGCUGCUGAAAGGAGUCUCCAUUGCUGGAAACCAACAAAUGAAAGUAACAACUAAUCAAAUUAUAAGUAACUUUUAGGCGUUCCAAACUGAAAAAGAUAGUUUUGGGAAAUAAAACAUAUAUACACAAACAGCAACAUUACACUUCAUUAGGUCCCAGAAGCCACGACUGAAGUUCUGCAACCUCAAAGAACAACUCCUCACCAACGUCCACCCAACAACAUUUCCCAGGAGGGCUUUUCGGGUUUACACCGACAAGCAAGGGAUCCAAUUUUUUAGUUACCACAGCUUCACUAUCAUCAACCCCACUCGCAUUGUGCGAAUAACUAUCAUCAGACAACGGAAAAGAAGAAAGAGACUCCUCGGCUAACUGACGGUAAAGCACCAAUCUAGGAGAUGCUGAUCUCAAAGUCAAGGAAAAUUCAAAUAACGAUGCCAAUUGUUCACUCAAAAGAGAGCUGCCAUGUUUCAAAAUUUUCACAAGGCAAUCUUUAGCUGAAUGAGAAUCAUCAUCAGUUUUUCCAACAAGUAGCCAAUCAUCAAUGAACUCCCAAAACAGAUUCUUCGACUCUUUUGAAAGUAAUUCGCUGUAACAAUUAGGGAAAAAAAGACAAAUAAAUAAUCCAUUCCCAAAAUUACGCUACGAGAAUAACAUCUAACAUAAACAAAUAAUCAAAUACCAACAGAUACGAAUUCCACAACAAGGGAAUCAUAAACCAAGUAAGGACAAUAAGAAGAAAAGGGAACAGACCCGGCUUCCAAAAGCAGUGGAGUACCGGACCAUUUAGCGCGAAUCGCAACUUGAACGUUCUUUGGUCUGCGAUUUUGAGCUCCAACAAAAGUGAAACCAGAAAUUAACAAGCAAGUGAGGAGGAUCAAAAUGCAAAACCGAGAUCUGAAACAGGUAUCCAUUGGGGUAAAAUCAAAGGAGAUUUUCCUAUUGGAUUCUAUAUGGUUUCAUAUAGAAAAUGGAUCCAACAUUUAUGGUGAGCAAUUAGAGAUCGAGACUUCGACGAGUAGUAAGUGACAGAGGGACGACUAUCUGAGAAGACUUCGAAGAAAAAAAGCAAAGGCAGGGCGUUUAUUGGCGGCUUUAUCGUCUUUGUAUAGAAAAAUGAAGGGCAUUUUCGGAAAUCUAGAACUUUGAAAUGAAGUAUUUUAUUUGGGUUAAUUGUAUCAAAUUAGUCCCUCUAUUAUUAAAUAAAUAAAUUUAGUUCAUAUACUAUUAAAAAUAAUCAAAUUAAGUCCAAACGGUAUGAGACUUAACGUUUUCUAUGUAAAAAAUAUCUUAAAAUUUAAUUAUUUUAAUUCCAAACAAAAUAUUCUAUUUAUAAAAUCAUAAAAACAUUAAAUUAUUAACUCUAUUAAAUAGUAAAUAAUAUUUUUUAAAACAAUAAAUGUUAAGUCUAUUCUAAUUUGACAUUAUUUUAUUUUCUCUAAUAAUAUAAAAACUAAAUUGAUCCAUUUAAUAAUAAAGAGAUUAAUUAGAUACAAUCUCUAUAAUAUAGGGAUCUCCCAAUUACUUUUACCAUUUUAUUAGUUAGAAUCACAUCAUUUUACAUUAAAUUUAAAGCAUGUAAUUUGUGAUGGAAGAUUGUUAAUAAGUGGAUUUUCUCUUAGAUAUUUUCAUGAAUCAGGUUAUCUAUUAAUGAUGGAAGGCUCACUCGAAAUAUUAGGCCUAAAAAAUGAACUUAGACAAAAAAAAUUAAACUCGUUUAAAAUAUGAGUCGGACUCGGGCUUGAACAUUUAAGGCCUGAGCUUAGCCUAACCCAAUCCUUUUUAAAUUUAUAAUACUUUAUAAUUUAUAAUACAUUAAAAAAUAAAUCUAUAUUAAAUAUAUAAUACUCUUUUAAUGUAAACAUUAAAAUAAUGUUAAGAUGACUAUAUAAAAAAUUAAUAAAUAAAAAAUAAAAAAUAUUAAAAUAAUAUAAUAUAAAUAUUUUUAAAAAUAAAAUGGGUAGGGCCUAAAAUGGGUUUGGGUUAGUCUUUUGCAAAUAUUGACAAGUUUAGGCAAAAUUCUAAGCCCAGAUUUCUGGCGAGCUUGGGCAAUUAUAAAGUAUGUUAAUAUCAUGCUUAGGUCCAACCAAACCCCGCCUAACCCGGCCCAUGAAUAUCUCUAUUUUUCUCUCAUCCUUUGUUACUCGAGUUUAACGCUUUUAUCUGAUGUGGUAAUUUUUGUUAUUUUUUAGUCUAAUUUAAUAUAUGUAUUUAUAAAAGUUAUAUAUAUUCGUACCCAAAAGUAAUAUUUGAAUGUUAAUACUUGAUUUGAUGAAAGUUAAUUACUAAUAUUAUUAGGUUUUAAUUUUCAUGAUUCUGUUAAUAGAAUAAUUUUAGUGUUAAUUCUGAAUUUGUUUAAUUUUGCGAUUAAUUUGUUCAAUACAAUCCAAUGGAUGUGAUUUAAUUCCGAUUUUAAGAUUGAUUUGAUGAAAGUUAAUUGCUAAUAUUAUUAGGUAAUUAUAAAUUUUCAUCAAAUCAACUUUAAAAUCCGAAUUAGAUACUGAAAUAUUAUCUUUAGGUACUAAAAUGUAUAAUUUUUGUCAAAUACAAGUAUCACAUUAGAAAAAAAAAAGCAUCGAACUUAUGCAUUAAGCCUUUAUUUUUUUAACUUUAACCCCAACUACGUUAAGCUCCAAUUAAAUAUAAAGUUAAGUCGGAUCGAACUUUAAACUCAAAACAAACUCUAAUAAUAUUGUUUUCUCUAGAAUUAAGAUGUUUAAUUAAUUCUUUAUAUUUAAUUUGUUUUAUUUUUCAUUUAAUAAAAAUAGUUGAAAAUCUUUAAAUAUUUUAAAAAGUUAUUUUUUUUAAAAAAUUGAUGAAUUGAAAUUUUCCUCUUAAAUAAUUAAUUAAAAUUGGAAACGCAAAACAAAGUGAUACCAACUUAAUUGGGACAAAAACUCAUAUUCUUUCCAAAUUAAUACAGCAUAAAUUGUAGUGUACAAAUCUAUUAUAUAAAAGCGAAAUAUAAGGGAGUCAAUAGAGGUGCUUAUGGGCCGGAUUGGGUUAGGUUUGAGUCGAUUCUAAGCAUGAUAUUAACAUACUUUAUAUUUGUUCAAGUUCGGCCCAACCCGAAAUUUGGGCCUAAAAUUUUGCUUAAACCUGUCCAUUUUUACAAAAGAUUAACUUAAGCCCAUUUAAGACCCGCCCAUAUUAUUUUUUAAAUUAGAAAAUAUUUUAUUUUAUUUUAAUAUUUAAUAAUUUUAUUCAUCUGUUAUUUAUUGAAAUUUUUUAUAUAGUUAUCUUAACAUUAUUUUAAUAUUUACAUUAGAGUACCACUAUAUAUUUAGUAUAAGUUUAUUUUUUUAAUGUGAUCUAAAUUACAAUAAAAAUAGAAAAAUUCAAAUUCAAAUAAAAAUAAAAAUUAAUAUAUGAUAAAAUUAUAUUUUAACCCCUAAAAAAUUAUAUCUAAUCUCUUUAAAAAUGAUAAAAUCAUAAAUUAAUACAUGAUAAAAUUAUAUUUUAACCUCUAAAAAAAUAUACUUUAAUUGCAAUCCCCCUACUGUUUAAAAAAAUAUUUAAAAAAUUACUUUUAUUAAAAACUUACCAUUUAUUUUAAAAAUAAUUAAUUAGUUUCAUUAAAAACGUUUUCCAUUAUUGUUCAAGAACUCCAUUUUAUUUUAAAAAUAUAUUUUAUAAGUUAUUUUCACCAUCAUAGUAAAUAUUAUUUAAUUUAAUAAUAUUUAAUUCAUUUUUUAAAAAAAAUCAAAAUAUGACCAUUGUUAUUUUUUCAAAAUUAAACCAUUAUCAUCAUAAUCCAAUCCUUCUGCAUUGUAAUACUUUUUUUAGAAAUUGAAUAUUAAUCUUGUAAUAUUAAAGUUCAUCAUUUGCCAAAUAGUUAAUAACAUAACAUAAAACUUCAAAAAAGUCUUAACAGUUAUGUUUUUUUUAAUACAAUUUCCUACUUUUAAGUUGGAAUUGUUCAUUGGUUUUGUGCCAUGUAUUAAUGCAAGUUAUGCUUUAUAUAUGAUUAGAACAUUAGCUAUACAACAUACAUCUAAAACACUAAACUCUACCAACCUUCAUCUCUUUCGUAACGGCACCUGGGGCUACUGCACGUUCUGCAUUGCGUGGUUUUCGUGCGGUGGGUCAGCAUAAACCUGUCCUUGCUCUCUCACAUCUCUAAACAUGGAAAGAAACGAACUAAGACCUUCAGACGAAGCACCUCCCAAGAUCCAUAAUAAUAAUGAACUGAAUGAACUCAUAGUUCUGGGAUUAGGUCCAGCUUCAGCUUGCUGUAGAUCGGGUUGUGCUGGAAUCUGCAUCGGGUUUCCGUUCUGGCUUAUGUUUUCAUUUUCCGACUGUCUUCGAGGCCCAGCAGCUUCUCCAGCUCCAUUGGCUGGUACUUCUUGGUCAGAUCCAGG
rnacentral:lncRNA from 1 species